GAGAGGGAGCUGGGCGGUUCGGCUUUUUGCUGAGGAAGGUCCACCCACCCUUUUUGGCAGAAAAGCCCUGAGAGGGGCUCCCCGCUCACAGAAACGACACGGCCUCCCGGGUAUGGCGAUGAUGCCUUAAAGCUUAGGACCCUGGAGGAACCGGUGAAACGGGGGCGGGGCUGCCGGGUGCAAGCCCGAAAGGGCGCGAAGCCAAAUCCGCCCAAAUUGGGUGGAUUGGAUUGAUCCAAUCCGCCCAAGUACAGAAGGUGGACUAAAGCUCCCACUC
rnacentral:RNase_P_RNA from 3 species